rnacentral:tRNA from 2 species
GCGGGAGUAGCUCAGUUGGUAGAGCGCUAGCCUUCCAAGCUGGAUGUCGCGGGUUCGAUCCCCGUCUCCCGCUCCA